CCUACGGGAGGCAGCAGUGGGGAAUCUUGCGCCAAUGCGCGAAAGCGUGACGCAGCGACGCCGCGUGGGGGAUGAAGGCCUUCGGGUUGUAAACCCCUUUUGCAGGGGAAGAAGCUCUGACGGUACCCUGCGAAUAAGCCACGGCUAACUACGUGCCAGCAGCCGCGGUAAUACGUAGGUGGCAAGCGUUGUCCGGAUUUAUUGGGCGUAAAGGGCGUGUAGGCGGUCUACUAAGUCCGGGGUGAAAUCUCCCGGCUCAACUGGGAGGGGUCCCCGGAUACUAGCGGACUAGAGGUGGGCAGGGGAAGGCGAAAUUCCCGGUGUAGCGGUAAAAUGCGUAGAUAUCGGGAGGAACACCAGUGGCGAAGGCGGCUCUCUGGGGUCAACCUGACGCUGAGGUGCGAAAGCGGGGGGAGCGAACGGGAUUAGAUCCCCCUGUAGU
rnacentral:rRNA from 1 species